rnacentral:rRNA from 1 species
GAUCAUGGCUCAGGAUGAACGCUAGCUACAGGCUUAACACAUGCAAGUCGAGGGGGAAACGACAUCGAAAGCUUGCUUUUGAUUGGGCGUCGACCGGCGCACGGGUGAGUAACGCGUAUCCAACCUGCCCACCACCUUGGGGGAUAACCUUGCGAAAGUAAGACUAAUACCCAAUGAUAUCUCUAGAAGACAUCUGUAAAGAGAUUAAAGAUUAUCGGUGAUGGAUGGGGAUGCGU